rnacentral:rRNA from 1 species
GCACUUAUUAGAUAAAAAGCCAAUACGACUUUGUCGAUCCAUUGGUGAAUCAUAAUAAUUUAUCGAAUCGCAUAGCGCAAGCUGGCGAUGGGUCAUUCAAAUUUCUGCCCUAUCAGCUGGAUGUUAGUGUAGUGGACUAACAUGGCAUAGACGGGUGACGGAGGAUUAGGGUCUGAUCCCGGAGAGGGAGCCUGAGAAACGGCUACCACUUCCAAGGAAGGCAGCAGGCGCGUAAAUUACCCAAUCCCGACACGGGGAGGUAGUGACAAGAAAUAACAAUACCGGGCUUUCUAAAGUCUGGUAAUUGGAAUGAGUACAGUUUAAAAUCCUUAACGAGGAACAAUUGGAGGGCAAGUCUGGUGCCAGCAGCCGCGGUAAUACCAGCUCCAAUAGCGUAUAUUAACUUUGUUGCAGUUAAAAGGCUCGUAGUCGAAUUUAUGGCUUUGCAAUCCUGGCCCACUACCAAGUGUAGCGAGUGCUGGCGUUUGCUGGUCAUCCUUCUGGAGAGCACUUCUGACCUUCACUGGUACGGUUGUUGCAAUCCAGGUCAUUUACUGUGAGUAAAUCAAAGUGUUC